CUUGCCCACUCAUACAAAAACAAAACUGAAAUUCCUACUCAACAAACUUGGAAACUUUUUUGAGACUUACAUCCGAGAUGACAUACAUAAGUGACUUGACUUACCUACGUCAAGGGAAACAGAACUCAUCACUAAAGUACUAAACAAUCAAUUGUUUACAGGAAAUUUAACGUAACUAAUGAUGCUGUAAGGAGUCUAAUGAUGUCAUCGUUAAAUAAAUAAACUCCAAAAUAUUAUUUGCUUUAGAAUUUACAUAGGAAGCAUGUUCAAAUGUAAUGCAGAGAAAAAAUUAAGACGAAAAACUUUUGGAAAAUCGCUAUGCGGCAUUUAAGAGGGCAAUAAUGCGCUUCCACACAAAUCCAUCAUUGUGAACGAAUUUGCGACCAAAAAACUAUUAGCAAAUAUCAUCGAGCAACCAACUUCUUAGCCAGAUAUGACUGACUCCAGCAGCAUUUUUUCUUUUUUUCAAAACUCAAAUUACCACUUGGUAGCAUCCGUUUUCAAAAAUGUUUUGAUGGGUGGAUUCUCCGUUGGCGUAAGCAUGUCGUUUCUAAGGAGCAUACUUUAAGAUUAUAAAACAAAUUUGGAUUAAUAACUAA